UACGUAGGCAGCAAGCGUUGUUCGGAAUUACUGGGCGUAAAGAGUGUGUAGGCGGUGCUCUAAGUCUGUUGUGAAAUCUCCCGGCUUAACCGGGAGGGUGCGGCGGAAACUGGAGUGCUUGAGGGUGGGAGAGGUAAGCGGAAUUCCUGGUGUAGCGGUGAAAUGCGUAGAUAUCAGGAGGAACACCUGUGGUGUAGACAGCUUACUGGGGGUUUGCUGACGCUGAGACACGAAAGCCAGGGGAGCAAACGGG
rnacentral:rRNA from 1 species